UACGAGGGGGGCGAGCGUUGUUCGGAAUUACUGGGCGUAAAGCGCACGUAGGCGGCUUUGUAAGUUAGAGGUGAAAGCCCGGGCUCAACUCCGGAAUUGCCUUUAAGACUGCAUCGCUAGAAUUGUGGAGAGGUAAGUGGAAUUCCGAGUGUAGAGGUGAAAUUCGUAGAUAUUCGGAAGAACACCAGUGGCGAAGGACGACUU
rnacentral:rRNA from 1 species